rnacentral:rRNA from 1 species
ACAGCGGGAAACUGCUGCUAAUACCCCAUAUGCCGAAAGGUGAAAAGAAAUUUGCCUUGAGAGGGGCUCGCGUCCGAUUAGCUAGUUGGUGAGGUAAGAGCUUACCAAGGCGACGAUCGGUAGCUGGUCUGAGAGGAUGAGCAGCCACACUGGGACUGAGACACGGCCCAGACUCCUACGGGAGGCAGCAGUGGGGAAUUUUCCGCAAUGGGCGAAAGCCUGACGGAGCAACGCCGCGUGGGGGAAGAAGGCCUUUGGGUUGUAAACUCCUUUUCUCAGGGAAGAAGAACUGACGGUACCUGAGGAAUCAGCCUCGGCUAACUCCGUGCCAGCAGCCGCGGUAAUACGGAGGAGGCAAGCGUUAUCCGGAAUUAUUGGGCGUAAAGCGUUCGUAGGCGGCGUUUCAAGUCUGCUGUCAAAGGCCGAGGCUCAACUUCGGAAAGGCAGUGGAAACUGAAAAGCUAGAGGUCGGUAGGGGCAGAGGGAAUUCCCAGUGUAGCGGUGAAAUGCGUAGAUAUUGGGAAGAACACCGGUGGCGAAAGCGCUCUGCUGGGCCGAACCUGACG